CUUUGCGCCGACCUCAGAGCAAGUG
rnacentral:rRNA from 2 species